rnacentral:tRNA from 1 species
GGGCUGGUAGUCUAGCUGGAAGGACACCUCCUUGGCAUGGAGGAAGUCGGGGGUUCAAGUCCCCCCCAGUCCA